rnacentral:rRNA from 1 species
UACGAAGGGGGCUAGCGUUGCUCGGAAUCACUGGGCGUAAAGCGCACGUAGGCGGAUUGUUAAGUCAGGGGUGAAAUCCUGGAGCUCAACUCCAGAACUGCCUUUGAUACUGGCGAUCUUGAGUCCGGGAGAGGUGAGGUGGAACUCCGAGUGUAGAGGUGAAAUUCGUAGAUAUUCGGAAGAACACCAGUGGCGAAGGCGGCUCACCUGGCCCGGUACUGACGCUGAGACGCGAAAGCGUGGGGAGCGAACGAGGA